UGCUUUAAAUUAUUUACUUACCCGCCCAUAAUAGACGCUCAUUUGGAAUGGGGUGAAAUUCCUCAACUAUUCCCGUAACUGUAAUGAGCACCGUGCUUUAAGUCAGAUACAAAUGAAUAAAAUAUUUUAACG
rnacentral:ncRNA from 2 species